rnacentral:rRNA from 1 species
AGAGUUUGAUCCUGGCUCAGAUUGAACGCUGGCGGCAUGCUUUACACAUGCAAGUCGAACGGCAGCGCGGGGCAACCUGGCGGCGAGUGGCGAACGGGUGAGUAAUAUAUCGGAACGUACCCAGAAGUGGGGGAUAACGUAGCGAAAGUUACGCUAAUACCGCAUACGAUCUACGGAUGAAAGUGGGGGACCUUCGGGCCUCAUGCUUUUGGAGCGGCCGAUAUCUGAUUAGCUAGUUGGUGAGGUAAAGGCUCACCAAGGCGACGAUCAGUAGCUGGUCUGAGAGGACGACCAGCCACACUGGAACUGAGACACGGUCCAGACUCCUACGGGAGGCAGCAGUGGGGAAUUUUGGACAAUGGGCGCAAGCCUGAUCCAGCAAUGCCGCGUGAGUGAAGAAGGCCUUCGGGUUGUAAAGCUCUUUUGUCAGGGAAGAAACGGCUGAGGAUAAUACCUUCGGCUAAUGACGGUACCUGAAGAAUAAGCACCGGCUAACUACGUGCCAGCAGCCGCGGUAAUACGUAGGGUGCAAGCGUUAAUCGGAAUUACUGGGCGUAAAGCGUGCGCAGGCGGUUUUGUAAGUCUGACGUGAAAUCCCCGGGCUCAACCUGGGAAUUGCGUUGGAGACUGCAAGGCUGGAGUCUGGCAGAGGGGGGUAGAAUUCCACGUGUAGCAGUGAAAUGCGUAGAGAUGUGGAGGAACACCGAUGGCGAAGGCAGCCCCCUGGGUCAAGACUGACGCUCAUGCACGAAAGCGUGGGGAGCAAACAGGAUUAGAUACCCUGGUAGUCCACGCCCUAAACGAUGUCUACUAGUUGUCGGGUCUUAAUUGACUUGGUAACGCAGCUAACGCGUGAAGUAGACCGCCUGGGGAGUACGGUCGCAAGAUUAAAACUCAAAUGAAUUGACGG